rnacentral:lncRNA from 1 species
AAUAUGUAUUAUAUUGUUUUUUUUAUUUCUUAUUAUAUCUCGAGGGCUUAAAACCAGAACUGUCUAUGUCCAUUUUUUGUGAAAUUGAGUUUAGUCUACCAAAGUACUGUAUAUUCAUUUCAGUUUGUGUGCCAGAACUGUCUAUUCCCAUGUAUGUCCAUUAGCCAUUUUACUUUUCAUGUCCAGACUGUUUCAAGUACUUUCAUGCAUUCAUUAAGAAUUGCGCAGUACUUGCAGUUUUCUACUAACUAAGCAGAUUAGAUUCCCUAUGCAGCUUCCACUGAUUGUGGCCAAGCAACACCAUAUCAUUGCCCGGAAAAAACGUAAUGAUGAAUAAAAAAGACCAAUGUGCAACAUGUACGAAGUAUGACCAGUUGUCGGGAGAACAGAAGGAGAAUUUCAUGGAAACCCAUCUCGUGCGAAAAACAGAGGCUUAAGGUUCCAAAGCAGUACCCUUGCAUCGUGUAAGACAGGAAAUCAUUGUGAAUAAGAUGGAGCGCAAAAGAGGACAAGCUUACAACAAGAAAUAUGCUGAUGACUUUGACUUGACUUUGACUUCAUUGCAUCAUCAGGAAAGAGCAAACAUCAUGCAACUUGCAAGGUAUGUCGCCGAGAUUUGUCAAUUUUGCAUGGCGGUUGUAAUGACAUUGUUGUUCAUUGCAAAACAAAGCAACACAUCACUGCUUUCCAGUCUGAAUUGUCAGCAUGAGAAAUAACAUCAUGGAUGUCAACCUCCAAGGAUUUUAAUAUAACUAGAGCUGAGUGCUUAUUUACAUCAUUUUAUUUGGAGCACAAUAUUUCUCUAUCAGCUGCAAGUCACAGACAAUGCAUCAGUCAUGACUGGUGUACACAAGGAAAUCGGGGCAUGCCUCGGAAAGUGUCAGCCAAACCACAAUGUGCUUGGUUGCCCCAAUCAUCUAAUUGAUCUUGCUGCCACAGCUGUGUCAUCUGCAUUACCAUAAACAUAUUCAAUUGACUCGCUCCUUAUUGAUGUGUUCUACUUUCUGGAAGCCAGCGUAAACAGGAAAUUGAAUCUCAAAAAGUGCAGGCAAUUCUGAAACAUGCUUGUACGAGAUGGCUGAGCUAUGGGCCAAUGCUUGCCAAGAUUUAUCCAGCAAUGGCAAGCUCUAGUCCUCUUUUUUGAAGGAGAAGUGUCAGCCCAGCAGAAGACGCCUACUCAACAGAUAAAGUAGAAGAAGCCUACUCAACAGACCAAGGCUACCAAGAAUAGUGUCCAGACUUCACUUGUUCCAAAGAAGCCAACCCCAGCUGUGAAAAAUAAACCUGCUCAGGGAUCUCAACUAAAGGAAAAGCCUGCUCACCAAACCAAGAUGACUGCACAACUCCAAGCAUUCUGCAUUCCCAAGAAGGUGUCUCCACAGAUCCACCACAUGUGAGCAAACCUGCCCAGUCUCAGACCCAAGUUCAACUUCAAGCACCACAGCCACAACACAGUAGACCAUCUUCAAGCUGUACUACUCGGGGAAAAAUGACAAGUGAGGGACACUUCGGAUACACCUAGCAAGAAGCAGAAUACUGGGAAAGUUGUCGGCAAGGCAACAGGCUCAACAGUCCUCAAGGCUGAAACUUCCAGUCAUCCCAGUACGAUUUCUAGUAAAAUGACUGGAAAUGAA